rnacentral:rRNA from 2 species
CACAGCAGUAGGGAUCUUCCACAAUGGACGAAGUCUGAUGGAGCAAUGCCGCGUGAGUGAAGAAGGGUACUGGCUCGUAAAACUCUGUUGUUAAAGAAGAACACCUUUGAGAGUAACUGUUCAAGGGUUGACGGUAUUUAACCAGAAAGCCACGGCUAACUACGUGCCAGCAGCCGCGGUAAUACGUAGGUGGCAAGCGUUGUCCGGAUUUAUUGGGCGUAAAGCGAGCGCAGGCGGUUUUUUAAGUCUGAUGUGAAAGCCUUCGGCUUAACCGGAGAAGUGCAUCGGAAACUGGGAGACUUGAGUGCAGAAGAGGACAGUGGAACUCCAUGUGUAGCGGUGGAAUGCGUAGAUAUAUGGAAGAACACCAGUGGCGAAGGCGGCUGUCUAGUCUGUAACUGACGCUGAGGCUCGAAAGCAUGGGUAGCGAACAGGAUUAGAUACCCUGGUAGUCCAUGCCGUAAACGAUGAGUGCUAAGUGUUGGGAGGGUUUCCGCCCUUCAGUGCUGCAGCUAACGCAUUAAGCACUCCGCCUGGGGAGUACGACCGCAAGGUUGAAACUCAAAGGAAUUGACGGGGGCCCGCACAAGCGGUGGAGCAUGUGGUUUAAUUCGAAGCUACGCGAAGAACCUUACCAGGUCUUGACAUCUUCUGCCAAUCUUAGAGAUAAGACGUUCCCUUCGGGGACAGAAUGACAGGUGGUGCAUGGUUGUCGUCAGCUCGUGUCGUGAGAUGUUGGGUUAAGUCCCGCAACGAGCGCAACCCUUAUUAUCAGUUGCCAGCAUUCAGUUGGGCACUCUGGUGAGACUGCCGGUGACAAACCGGAGGAAGGUGGGGAUGACGUCAAAUCAUCAUGCCCCUUAUGACCUGGGCUACACACGUGCUACAAUGGACGGUACAACGAGUCGCGAAGUCGUGAGGCUAAGCUAAUCUCUUAAAGCCGUUCUCAGUUCGGAUUGUAGGCUGCAACUCGCCUACAUGAAGUUGGAAUCGCUAGUAAUCGCGGAUCAGCAUGCCGCGGUGAAUACGUUCCCGGGCCUUGUACACACCGCCCGUCACACCAUGAGAGUUUGUAACACCCAAAGCCGGUGAGAUAACCUUCGGGAGUCAGCCGUCUAAGGUGGACAGAGAG